rnacentral:rRNA from 1 species
AUACGUAGGUGGCGAGCGUUGUCCGGAAUUACUGGGCGUAAAGGGUGCGUAGGCGGAUAUUUAAGUCAGAUGUGAAAUUCCCGGGCUCAACCUGGGAAGUGCAUUUGAAACUGGGUAUCUAGAGUGCAGGAGAGGGAAGCGGAAUUCCUAGUGUAGCGGCGAAAUGCGUAGAGAUCUGGAGGAACACCAGUGGCGAAGGCGACUACCUGGACCGAUACUGACACUGAGGAGCGAAAGCGUGGGGAGC